GACGAACGCUGGCGGCGUGCCUAAUACAUGCAAGUAGAACGCACAGUUUAUACCGUAGCUUGCUACACCAUACACUGUGAGUUGCGAACGGGUGAGUAACGCGUAGGUAACCUGCCUGGUAGCGGGGGAUAACUAUUGGAAACGAUAGCUAAUACCGCAUAAUAUUGAUUAUUGCAUGAUAAUUGAUUGAAAGAUGCUAUUGCAUCACUACCAGAUGGACCUGCGUUGUAUUAGCUAGUAGGUGAGGUAACGGCUCACCUAGGCGACGAUACAUAGCCGACCUGAGAGGGUGAUCGGCCACACUGGGACUGAGACACGGCCCAGACUCCUACGGGAGGCAGCAGUAGGGAAGCUUCGGCAAUGGACGAAAGUCUGACCGAGCAACGCCGCGGGAGUGAAGAAGGUUUUCGGAUCGUAAAGCUCUGUUGUAAGAGAAGAACGGGUGUGAGAGUGGAAAGUUCACACUGUGACGGUAUCUUACCAGAAAGGGACGGCUAACUACGUG
rnacentral:rRNA from 1 species